rnacentral:rRNA from 1 species
UGGGCAACCUGCCCCUCUCUCUGGGAUAACCCCGGGAAACCGGAGCUAAUACCGGAUACUCCGGCUGGAUCGCAUGGUCCGGCCGGGAAAGGUCCGCCGGAGAGGGAUGGGCCCGCGGCCUAUCAGCUUGUUGGUGAGGUAACGGCCCACCAAGGCGACGACGGGUAGCUGGUCUGAGAGGACGACCAGCCACACUGGAACUGAGAUACGGUCCAGACUCCGUACGGGAGGCA